rnacentral:lncRNA from 1 species
UGAGGCAUGGUGCAGACACUGCAGGGUGUUUAUUCCCCACCACCUCCCCGCUGGUUACUGACAGUGUGUAUCAUUUUGGAGAGGUACCCCAGCAUCUCGCUCCUCCUUGAUGGAAAGGAAUUCUUUUCUGGAUAUAAGGAAAGGAUAGGGAGCCGUGACUCUGCUGGAGCUGCGUUAGUCCGUAGGUUAGAGUGCUGCGAUCCCAGAUGGUUGAAGCAAUGCCAGCUGGUAGCACUUGGACAAAGAGUUCAGUCUGAUGAAACACAGCCUGACAGCUGGUAUCAGAUGCUGGAGAACUGUAAGUUUCAGUGAACGUGUUGCUAUUGGAGUCAUGACAGAAAUUUCAAGGGAGAAAAAAAAAAAUUAAAUUUGAGAGACAUUAGUAGAGGAUCUCAUCUGCAUUGAAAGAAGAGCUCAGCCAUGCUUUGCUGAUGUUGCCAGCCGAGGACUUGGCCCAAAAUUUCUAAGGGCCUGUUUACAUUACAAAAUAACAGGAACUUAGUACGAUUUCUUGUUCAGAGGAAUCACUGACAUGUUCCAAAAACAAGCUUAUACUUGAGGCCAUUAGCUCAUUUGCUAAACUCUGGAUCCAGUUGCAUUGCAGCACUUUGGCAACAGUCCCUUACUAUCAGUUGUAGUGCUAAAGGGACAAAAAGUCAGGAUUCAAACUUUACGAAGAUUACAAAUUAAAAACCAACAUUUUUGACUGCACCUAAAGACUGACCAAGAAGAGCAAUGGGACAUAUAAAGGGAGUGCUCUGCAUGGGGAUGCAGCUGCAUUUUGUGGUAUUUGGACUUCCAGCAGAGACGGACUUCAAUAAACUAUGUCAUGGGGUAAUGAAACUGUUUGUG